CUUGUUAAAGUGCAGCUGACAGAUAGGUAGGAUAGUUUUUCCAUGUUUUUCUCCUUACAAGAGGGAUGGAGUUUUUUCAUAAGGCAAGGGAGUCUUUAACUACUUUUUGCUUUAUUUAAUGUAGCUCAUUAGCAUUAUUCCUUCAGAUGUUUUCAGUAAUUGAAAAUUCAAGCUCAGACAGCCCUCCUUCUUGUAAGGCUCCCUUCUCUGGAUCUGCUAUGUCCUUGCUAGAUUUCAGACCUGCCUACCAUGAUUUGCAGACGGUUUUUCUCUGCUGGAAGAAUUGCAAAGCAUCUGUUUUGGUUUCCCUGGUUUGCGACUGAAACGAAUACCUGUACAAACCAAUGCCUGUCUACCCAUGUUGUCAAACUGAACGUUUCCAUGAAGAGGAGCACUUCUCCAAAGCUGUCGCCCAGCCUCGGGGGGAAGGAAGGCGACUUUCAGGCAUGUCACCUAGGGACCCUCCAGAGCUGGGUGGCCACAGCAUGUUACAGAUCACAGUGCGGCGCGGCCAAGAUGCGAGGGGGAGCGAGGAGGGGACUGACUCGUGCUGUUAAUUGCACGGGGACUGCUAUCUCCACAUCUCAAAGGCAGAUUCGACGGCCCCAAAAUCGAGCAAACUAUCGAGUGGUAAUGUGGAGAUGGUCUCUUCAAGAUGAGCUUAUCAUGCCAAGUCCAAGAAAUACGGUUGGGAGACUUGUGCUAAGGGAGACGUGCGCACUCACCAGAUGA
rnacentral:lncRNA from 1 species